rnacentral:rRNA from 1 species
CACGUAGGCGGCUUUUUAAGUCAGGGGUGAAAUCCUGGAGCUCAACUCCAGAACUGCCUUUGAUACUGAGAAGCUUGAGUCCGGGAGAGGUGAGUGGAACUGCGAGUGUAGAGGUGAAAUUCGUAGAUAUUCGCAAGAACACCAGUGGCGAAGGCGGCUCACUGGCCCGGUACUGACGCUGAGGUGCGAAAGCGUGGGAGCAAACAGGAUUAGAUACCCUGGUAGUCCACGCCGUAAACGAUGGAUGCUAGCCGUUGUCGGGUUUACUCGUCAGUGGCGCAGCUAACGCAUUAAGCAUCCCGCCUGGGGAGUACGGUCGCAAGAUUAAA